AGUGAACGCUGGCGGUAGGCCUAACACAUGCAAGUCGAACGGCAGCACAGUAAGAGCUUGCUCUUACGGGUGGCGAGUGGCGGACGGGUGAGGAACACAUCGGAAUCUACUUUUUCGUGGGGGAUAACGUAGGGAAACUUACGCUAAUACCGCAUACGACCUACGGGUGAAAGCAGGGGAUCUUCGGACCUUGCGCGAUUGAAUGAGCCGAUGUCGGAUUAGCUAGUUGGCGGGGUAAAGGCCCACCAAGGCGACGAUCCGUAGCUGGUCUGAGAGGAUGAUCAGCCACACUGGAACUGAGACGCGGUCCAGACUCCUACGGGAGGCAGCAGUGGGGAAUAUUGGACAAUGGGCGCAAGCCUGAUCCAGCCAUACCGCGUGGGUGAAGAAGGCCUUCGGGUUGUAAAGCCCUUUUGUUGGGAAAGAAAAGCAGCAGGUUAAUACCCCGCUGUUCUGACGGUACCCAAAGAAUAAGCACCGGCUAACUUCGUG
rnacentral:rRNA from 1 species